GAUGCCCUGGUCCAGAUCUGGGAGGAGAUACACCAGGAAAACAUUCGUCGUCUCAUCAGGAGCAUGCCCCGACUUUGUCGGGCAUACAUACAAGCACACAAGGGCCACACAAAAUACUGAGGGUAAUUUUGAGUUGUUGGAAUGAAAUUUGCCGCAUAAUUUUUUUUCCACUUUGUUUUUUAAGGUGUCCUUAAAUUCAGCCUGCUCUAGGUUGAUUGUUUUCAAUUCCGUCAAAUUUGCAGCCACCAUUCAUUCCAAACUUACUAUCCAGUCUACAUCAGUGGAGAUAUACUGCAUUUUUUUUCACCAGUGAGCUCCGGUGUGUUGUCAAAGUUCUCCUUGAAAUGUGUGUGAGUGCUUGUGUGCGUGUGUGUGUGUGUGUGUGUGUGUGUAUGUGUGUG